CCUGGCUCAGGAUGAAUGCUAGCGGAGUGGAUAAGGCAUGCAAGUCAAGGGGGCUCUGCCCGUAAGGGUUGGGCAACCGGCAGACGAGGUAGUAAUACACAGGUACGCACCGAAGAGUCUGGUAUAGCUCGCCGAAAGGCGGGGUAAUCCCGGAUGGCGUGGCGACACUAAAGGAGCAAUCCGCUCUUUGAGCGGCCUGUGCCGCAUCAGCUUGUUGGUAAGGUAACGGCUUACCAAGGCUACGACGCGUAGGGGAGCUGAGAGGCUGACCCCCACCGAUGGGACUGAGACACGGCCCAUACAUCUACGGAUGGCUGCAGUCAAGAAAAUUUGGCAAUGGGCGAAAGCCUGACCAUGCGACGCCGCGUGCUGGUCAAGUCCUUCGGGACGUAAACAGCUUUUAUGGG
rnacentral:rRNA from 1 species